AGCGAACGCUGGCGGCAGGCCUAACACAUGCAAGUCGAACGGAUCCUUCGGGAUUAGUGGCGGACGGGUGAGUAACACGUGGGAACGUGCCCUUUGGUUCGGAACAACUCAGGGAAACUUGAGCUAAUACCGGAUGUGCCCUUCGGGGGAAAGAUUUAUCGCCAUUGGAGCGGCCCGCGUCUGAUUAGCUAGUUGGUGAGGUAAAGGCUCACUAAGGCGACGAUCAGUAGCUGGGCUGAGAGGAUGAUCAGCCACAUUGGGACUGAGACACGGCCCAAACUCCUACGGGAGGCAGCAGUGGGGAAUCUUGCGCAAUGGGCGAAAGCCUGACGCAGCCAUGCCGCGUGAAUGAUGAAGGUCUUAGGAUUGUAAAAUUCUUUCACCGGGGACGAUAAUGACGGUACCCGGAGAAGAAGCCCCGGCUAACUUCGUGCCAGCAGCCGCCGUAACAC
rnacentral:rRNA from 1 species